rnacentral:tRNA from 2 species
GUCGGGGUGGCUCAGCCUGGCAGAGCGCCUGACUCAUAAUCAGGAGGUCGCGGGUUCAAAUCCCGCCCCCGACA